CAUCUGUGGGCGUGGUCGGCGUAGCCCUGGGGUAUGGUAGGGUUGGGUACACUUUGUACAGGUACUAGGUACCACCGAAUGAGUAUUCCUCACUGCACUCCUUUGCACGUCGACUGAGCUGAGCGAGGAAUAAAAAGCUGUGGAUUGUUUCUGGAAAAUACAAGGGAGCUAAAACUUCAUCACCAUGUUCAAGCAAAAAGUGAUCAAGCAGGGGAAGGAGUAUGAUAGCAUCGUACGGCAGUGCAGACAGUCAGGGGCCAAGUUUGAGGACCCUCUCUUUCCUGCUUGCGUUGAAUCGCUUUUCUUUGAGCAGAAGCCGCCUCAGCCAUUCGUAUGGAAGCGACCCAGCGUAA